GACGGGGGGGGCAAGUGUUCUUCGGAAUCACUGGGCGUAAAGCGCACGUAGGCGGACUCUUAAGUCGGUGGUGAAAUCCUGGAGCUCAACUCCAGAACUGCCUUCGAUACUGAGAGUCUUGAGUCCGGGAGAGGUGAGUGGAACUGCGAGUGUAGAGGUGAAAUUCGUAGAUAUUCGCAAGAACACCAGUGGCGAAGGCGGCUCACUGGCCCGGUACUGACGCUGAGGUGCGAAAGCGUGGGGAGCAAACAGG
rnacentral:rRNA from 1 species